AGUUUGUCUCUCUCUCUCUCUCUCUCUCUCUCUCUCUCUCUCUCUCUUUCUCUCUCUCUCUCUCUCUGUGUGUGUGUGUGUGUGUGUGUGAGAGAGAGAGAGAGAGAGAGAGAGAACAAUU